AUUGGUGAAGGUCAAAGAAACUAAGUUGUCAUGAAUAUUUCCAGAGGAAUGCUUCUUCAUUUCUUUUUUUUUUUUUUUAAACUUUAUUUCCUCGUCUUGUUAUGGAAGGAGCAAGUGGCUCUAUGUGCUACAAAGAGCUGAGUGGCCACCACACAUGGUGCGGCAUUUCUCUUAGGCUGUAGAAUCUUUCUUUUGAGAUUUAGGGAAGAAAAAUGGUCAGGGUUCAUCUUCAUCACCAGGACUAUUGAAUUUUGAUACAAGUUAGCAUUGGGGGCCCUCAGCAACUUCGCAAGAGAAAUCCUUGGAGAUGCUGUCUGACAGAAGCCUGCCAUUCCUUACCUCAGUCUUCCCUUUGUUCUCUCUGGUGUUUCCCCCUUUCAGUUUUCAUAUAUCCCCAGAACUGGCUUAAUUUUAGCCAAGUAUUGAAAUCGUCCCAGGAAAGGCAGAGCAGCCAGCCUCUGCUCUUCACUGUCAACUGAGUUGAAGACUGAGGAAGCCUGGAGGCUUACUGGUUGCCAUGGUGAAGAGUGGGCCCUGAGAGUAUUAAGAAGCUGGGAGCUAGAGCUUUUUUGUUUGUUGGUUUUGAUUAGUUCUGUUUGCUUUAUACCCCGACUUCUCCUUCUUUUUCUCCUCCCCUGCCCCCUACCCCUCCAGAGUCUCAAAUCACUAAAGCAGGAGAUUACUAGGGGCAAAAUCAGGUCCCAGGCUACAUUAAACCCAGGCUGCCCUGCUGAGGAUAAUUGCAGUGCAUUUGGCAAUGCAGACUCUUGGGAGGGCCAAGUUUGGAAUUUAAGUUGUUAUACCUUUGUGCAGGCAUGGUGCAGCAUCCUGAGACAGAAAAGGACUCCUGUGGAAAAAGAGAGACAGCUCUGUUCUGGAACUUUUGGCCUGUGUUUUCAUAGCCCAAGGGAUUUGGGCUUUUGUUUUGUUUUGACAGCUCCUAGCAUCUAGUCCACACAAUUUUCCUCAAUUAACUCUCUUCUCUCCCACUGCUGACCAGGUAGAACAUAUUUGUAGAGAAAGUGUGGGUUCUGGAAGAACCAUGCACAUAUUAUGUAAUAAUUAUUGUUAUCCCUAUUAUUAUUUCAUAAAUAAUUCUCCUCACUUCAAUCCGUGUUUCUGAAAAAGGGAGACAGCUGACUCAGGAAGAUUUUUGUGGACUGGACUGCAGUGAAAACUGACCUCGCUUCCUUUUUAAUUGGUACCCUGGGGCUGAAGGAGGAGCAUUAUGAAGGGAAGGAAACCCUGGGCACACAGCAAAGGCGGAUCAUGGCAUAUGUAGGAGUUGCAGUGUCUCUGCUCUCUUGCAUUCAGUGCUAAUUGCAUAAUGCUACCUGGACUGGAUGAGUAUGGAAGAGCAAAAAUCUCAAGAACCUCAUAUCCUUCGUCCAGCCAUUUUUUCCAUCCAUAGAAUGCAUAGGGAACGGGCAUUCUUUUUUAACUCUCCAAAUGUGGAUUCUCAGCUUCCAAGUUCCUUUUUUCAUUUGCACCUAUUUGUGAAUUUGUGACUAUAUAAUCUCAAAUCCUUUUCUUGUAUCCAUGUUUAUUAUCCCUAAUAGAUGGCCUGAUUCCUGGAGGCAGGUUUUGUACUAUCAAAUCUAUCAGAAUAUCUCUUGAGGGAUCUAAAUAGCAUAGGGAAUAUGUCUUACCUUACUGCUUAUAGUUUGUGAGGCACAGGGAAGGCCUGUGCUGCAUAUAAUGUGUGAUAUUAGAAAAAUGUGUUUAUUACAUCGAUAAAAUAAGGCUAAAUGCUUAUCACUUGCUAGAUGUAAAAUAAAUACUAGAAAUAAUGAAGACUUUAACAUGAGAGGCAAAAGUGUACAAUUUUUUAGUAGAAAAUGUAUGUGAAUUUCUUUUCUGUUAAGGUUUAGAGGUUUUCCUUAGUGUGGAAGGCACAACCCAUUAAGGAGAAGGGGAUGAAUUUUUUUUUACUGUAGUCUGUUAAAAGUAAAUAUCUCUGCUCCACUGAGGAAAUAAAUAGGC
rnacentral:lncRNA from 1 species